CACCGCGGUUAUACGAGAGGCCCAAGUUGAUUGAUACCGGCGUAAAGCGUGGUUAAGGAAUGUUAAAACUAAAGCCGAACAUCUUCAAAGCAGUUAUACGCAUCCGAAGACACGAAGCCCCACCACGAAAGUGGCUUUAUAAAACCUGACCCCACGAAAGCUAUGAUA
rnacentral:rRNA from 1 species